UAUGGUGAGCCACGUGGUGUGGCUUGAAAAGGGAACCGGGUGAAAGACCCGGACUGUGCCCGCAGCUGUAAGCUCCAUAAACGUGUCACUUUCUUUGCCAUUGUCCGUUAGGACGAGAAGGCGUGACACAGGAACAAGUCAGAAGACCUGCCAUAGUUA
rnacentral:ncRNA from 1 species